UCCAGGGUAGCAGAGUGGACAUGGCAUCUGCCCGGUAAGCGGAACACUGUGGGUUCGAUUCCCAUCCCUGGAC